rnacentral:snoRNA from 1 species
GUAUGAUGAGCUUCUAGAUGACGAGUCUGAAGCUGUCGUGGCGAGGCUUCCUCGUCACGGCUCAGUUUGAUGACCACAUAAAUUUUACCAUUCAUGCAUUUCUGACU